rnacentral:rRNA from 1 species
GAUGAACGCUGGCGGCGUGCCUAAUACAUGCAAGUCGAGCGAACGGACGAGAAGCUUGCUUCUCUGAUGUUAGCGGCGGACGGGUGAGUAACACGUGGAUAACCUACCUAUAAGACUGGGAUAACUUCGGGAAACCGUAGCUAAUACCGGAUAAUAUUUUGAACCGCAUGAUUCAAAAGUGAAAGACGGUCUUGCUGUCACUUAUAGAUGGAUCCGCGCUGCAUUAGCUAGUUGGUAAGGUAACGGCUUACCAAGGCAACGAUGCAUAGCCGACCUGAGAGGGUGAUCGGCCACACUGGAACUGAGACACGGUCCAGACUCCUACGGGAGGCAGCAGUAGGGAAUCUUCUGCAAUGGGCGAAAGCCUGACGGAGCAACGCCGCGUGAGUGAUGAAGGUCUUCGGAUCGUAAAACUCUGUUAUUAGGGAAGAACAUAUGUGUAAGUAACUGUGCACAUCUUGACGGUACCUAAUCAGAAAGCCACGGCUAACUACGUG